rnacentral:rRNA from 1 species
GGAUCUGCCUUCAGGUUGGGGACAACCACUGGAAACGGUGGCUAAUACCCAAUGUGCCGAGAGGUGAAAGGUUAACUGCCUGAAGAUGAACUCGCGUCUGAUUAGCUAGUUGGUAGGGUAAGAGCCUACCAAGGCGAUGAUCAGUAGCUGGUCUAAGAGGAUGAUCAGCCACACUGGGACUGAGACACGGCCCAGGCUCCUACGGGAGGCAGCAGUGGGGAAUUUUCCGCAAUGGGCGAAAGCCUGACGGAGCAACGCCGCGUGAGGGAGGAAGGCCUUAGGGUUGUAAACCUCUUUUCUCAGGGAAGAAGUACUGACGGUACCUGAGGAAUAAGCCUCGGCUAACUCCGUGCCAGCAGCCGCGGUAAGACGGAGGAGGCAAGCGUUAUCCGGAAUUAUUGGGCGUAAAGCGUCCGCAGGCGGUUUUUUAAGUCUGUUGUCAAAACCCACAGCUCAACUGUGGAUCGGCAAUGGAAACUGAGAGACUUGAGUGUGGUAGGGGUAGAGGGAAUUCCCGGUGUAGCGGUGAAAUGCGUCGAUAUCGGGAAGAACACCAGUGGCGAAGGCGCUCUACUGGGCCACAACUGACGCUGAGGGACGAAAGCUAGGGGAGCGAAAGGGAUUAGAUACCCCUGUAGUCCUAGCUGU